CAAAGGUGCCACUGCAUGCGACCAGCGAGUGGCUAACCUUUGCCGAAAAGGGGGGGUAAACCCGUUAACCCCCCUCCGUGUUGGGGAUGGGGGUUUGCAUUUUUUCCCCUUAACGAAGAAAUCCCAAGAAGGCGGGGGUCAAAAGCUCGGGUUAAUUACUUCCCUGCCCUUUGAACACACCGAAA
rnacentral:rRNA from 1 species